AUUGAACGCUGGCGGCAGGCUUAACACAUGCAAGUCGAGCGGGGUGAUGGUGCUUGCACUAUCACUUAGCGGCGGACGGGUGAGUAAUGCUUAGGAAUCUGCCUAUUAGUGGGGGACAACAUCUCGAAAGGGAUGCUAAUACCGCAUACGUCCUACGGGAGAAAGCAGGGGAUCACUUGUGACCUUGCGCUAAUAGAUGAGCCUAAGUCGGAUUAGCUAGUUGGUGGGGUAAAGGGCUACCAAGGCGACGAUCUGUAGCGGGUCUGAGAGGAUGAUCCGCCACACUGGGACUGGGACACGGCCCAGACUCCUACGGGAGGCAGCAGUGGGGAAUAUUGGACAAUGGGGGGAACCCUGAUCCAGCCAUGCCGCGUGUGUGAAGAAGGCCUUAUGGUUGUAAAGCACUUUAAGCGAGGAGGAGGCUCUUUUGGUUAAUACCCAGGAUGAGUGGACGUUACUCGCAGAAUAAGCACCGGCUAACUCUGUGCCAGCAGCCGCCGCCGUAA
rnacentral:rRNA from 1 species